GUCUUUUUGAUAAAUAAUUUAAAGUCUAAUCUGCCCCCUGAAAUUAUUUAAAGGGCUGCGGUAUUUUAACCGUACAAAGGUAGCAUAAUAAUUAGGUUUUUAAUUGAAAUCUAGAAUGAAUGAUUGGACGAGAUACAAGCUGUUUUAAAAUAUUUAUAUAGAAUUUAAUUUUUUGGUUAAAAAGCUAAAAUUUGAUUAAAAGACGAGAAGACCCUAUAAAUCUUUAUAAUAUAAUAAUUUUAAUUGAUUAUAUAAUUUAAAUUAAUUUUAAUAGUUUAAUUAUUUUAUUGGGGCGAUAAAAAAAUUUAUAUAACUUUUUUAAUAAAAUUACUUAAAUUAAAGAUUUAAUAAAUUUUGAUCUAUUAAUAAUAAUUCAGAGAAUAAGAUACUUUAGGGAUAACAGCGUAAUUUUAAUUUUAAGUUCAUAUUAAAAUUAAAGAUUGCGACCUCGAUGUUGGAUUAAAAUUUAAUUUAAAUGCAAAAGUUUAAAAAUUAAGUCUGUUCGACUUUUAAAAUUUU
rnacentral:rRNA from 1 species